AAUUAUAAACAUUUAUGUAAUUUCCCAAAACCGCGUUUUUGCCUUAUUUCCACGAUUCUUCUCAAUUAUUUCCUUUUCUUUUAUUUUAUUUUAUUUCUUUUUUGUAUAUAUAAAUACGAGCUCUCUCUUCCUCACUCGUUCACUUCACCACAAACACUUUUCUUUCAAAACUGUAUAUAUAUAUAUAUACACACUCAUCUAUGGUGAUUAUUAUUAUACAAUAGGAACAAGAGGAAAAGGGAAUGAGUUUGCUGGAAGUUGUAGGUAUGGGGGGAUUGGGCAAAGCUAUAUCUAUAUAUAUAUAUAUAUCCAAAUAUGUAUAAUCUAUAUCUAUAGAUCUAUAUAUGUAUAAUCUUUAUAUAUAUAUAUAUAUAUGAAAAAAAAAUAGAAAAAUAGGAGCUUUUCCCAACACCUCCCAUACCAUUGAUUUCCAGGCCUUCUUCCCUUUUCCAUUCUCUGUUCCAUUUUUCUGACUGUUUCUCACUCUUUCUUUCCCAUCAGGGGGAAGGAGUUUCGAAUUUCACCACAAAAAGAGGAGGACAACAACACCACAACCACCACCACACAAGAGACCAACAACACAACCAUUUUUGGGGUAAAAUCUAUACAUAUUAAUUUGAGUUCAGAUUGAACCUGUAUCUCAGAGUUACAAAGCAAUGGGGUCACCACUACACAAAUCACGUGGUGGGUUUGGCCACCACCACACAGGGGACCAGCAAGACGAUCAUUUUUGGGAUACAAAUCUAUACAUAUAAAUAUGUACAAAUUACUUUGAGUUCAGAUUGAACGUGUAUCACAUAGUUACAAAGCUACGGGGUCACCACUACACCAAUCAUGUAGUGGUAAGAUUUAGUAAGCCGUUUUAACUGCACAAAAAUAUAAUUGUCUUAUUCAAAAAUAAAUUUUGAACGAACUUUUCUAUAUAAUGUAGUGUUUGACACUGUGAGUAACUAACCCUUAAUGAUAUUUAUUAAGUCACUAAACAUGUCAUUUUUAUUGUGUACGACCUGAUGGAGUAAAUUACAAUAGUGUUAAUGUCAUUUAAAUUGUUUUAGAGUCAAAGAUGAUAUUAAAUACAUAAUUGCUUGUUACAUAUAGAGCUUUAUUGUACACACCAAUAUAGUUUAGUCUUACAAGUAAUCACUAAAAUUUGAGUUUAUUAAACAAAUCUGUAAAUUAUUU